rnacentral:rRNA from 1 species
GACGAACCGUGCGAACGUUGUUCGGAAUCACUGGGCUUAAAGGGCGCGUAGGCGGCAGACCAAGUCCGGGGUGAAAUCUUUCGGCUUAACCGGAAAAGGGCCUCGGAUACUGGUCAGCUGGAGGGAGGUAGGGGCAGUCGGAACUUCCGGUGGAGCGGUGAAAUGCGUUGAUAUCGGAAGGAACGCCGGUGGCGAAAGCGGGCUGCUGGACCUCUUCUGACGCUGAGGCGCGACAGCGUGGGGAGCAAACAG